rnacentral:rRNA from 1 species
GAUGAACGCUGGCGGCGUGCCUAAUACAUGCAAGUCGAGCGAACAGACGAGGAGCUUGCUCCUCUGACGUUAGCGGCGGACGGGUGAGUAACACGUGGAUAACCUACCUAUAAGACUGGGAUAACUUCGGGAAACCGGAGCUAAUACCGGAUAAUAUAUUGAACCGCAUGGUUCAAUAGUGAAAGACGGUUUUGCUGUCACUUAUAGAUGGUUCCGGGCCGCAUUAGCUAGUUGGUAAGGUAACGGCUUACCAAGGCGACGAUGCGUAGCCGACCUGAGAGGGUGAUCGGCCACACUGGAACUGAGACACGGUCCAGACUCCUACGGGAGGCAGCAGCAGGGAAUCUUCGGCAAUGGGCGAAAGCCUGACGGAGCAACGCCGCGUGAGUGAUGAAGGUCCUCGGAUCGUAAAACUCUGUUAUUAGGGAAGAACAAAUGUGUAAGUAACUAUGGACGUCUUGACGGUACCUAAUCAGAAAGCCACGGCUAACUACGUG